UGUUAAACAAAAUAUUGAUCAUAACAGAGUAGUUUUACAUACUUUGUUUCUGGAAUGGGACUUGUAAAAAAGAACAAGGUCA